AUUGAACGCUGGCGGCAGGCCUAACACAUGCAAGUCGAGCGAGCGGCGGACGGGUGAGUAAUGUCUGGGAAACUGCCUGAUGGAGGGGGAUAACUACUGGAAACGGUAGCUAAUACCGCAUACCAUCAGAUGUGCCCAGAUGGGAGUAGCUAGUAGGUGGGGUAACGGCUCACCUAGGCGACGAUUCCUCGCUGGUCUGAGAGGAGGACCAGCCACAUUGGAACUGAGACACGGACCAGACGCCUACGGGAGGCAGCAGUGGGGAAUAGGGCACAAUGGGCGCAAGCCUGAUGCAGCCAUGCCGCGUGUGUGAAGAAGGCCUGCGGGUUGUAAAGCACUUUCAGCGGGGAGGCGUUACCCGCAGAAGAAGCACCGGCUAACUCCGUGCCAGCAGCCGCGGUAAUUC
rnacentral:rRNA from 1 species